ensembl:misc_RNA Y_RNA Y RNA
GGCUGAUCUGAAGGCAGUGAGUUAUCUCAAUUGUUCACAAUCAGUUACAGAUCAAACUCCUUGUUCUACUCUUUUCCCCCUUCUCACUACUGCAUUUGACUCAUCUUUA